rnacentral:tRNA from 1 species
GACUUAAGAUGAAAACUAUUCAUAUCUUUGAUUCCACAAAACAAUAUUUUUUAUUAAAAUACUUAAGC